rnacentral:rRNA from 1 species
CAGCAGCCGCGGUAAUACAGAGGGUGCAAGCGUUAAUCGGAAUUACUGGGCGUAAAGCGCGCGUAGGUGGUUUGUUAAGUUGGAUGUGAAAGCCCCGGGCUCGACCUGGGAACUGCAUCCAAAACUGGCAAGCUAGAGUACGGUAGAGGGUGGUGGAAUUUCCUGUGUAGCGGUGAAAUGCGUAGAUAUAGGAAGGAACACCAGUGGCGAAGGCGACCACCUGGACUGAUACUGACACUGAGGUGCGAAAGCGUGGGGAGCAAACAGGAUUAGAUACCCCGGUAGUACCUGUCUCUUAUAC